rnacentral:rRNA from 1 species
CCCAGACUCCUACGGGAGGCAGCAGUGGGGAAUAUUGCACAAUGGGGGGAACCCUGAUGCAGCGACGCCGCGUGGGUGAAGGAGUACUUCGGUACGUAAAGCCCUAUCAGCAGGAAAGAAAAUGACGGUACCUGACUAAGAAGCCCCGGCUAACUACGUGCCAGCAGCCGCGGUAAUACGUAGGGGGCAAGCGUUAUCCGGAUUUACUGGGUGUAAAGGGAGCGUAGACGGCAGUGCAAGUCCGGAGUGAAAGCCCGGGGCUCAACCCUGGGACUGCUCUGGAAACUGUAAAGCUGGAGUGCGGGAGGGGCAGGCGGAAUUCCUGGUGUAGCGGUGAAAUGCGUAGAUAUCAGGAGGAACACCGGCGGCGAAGGCGGCCUGCUGGACCGUGACUGACGUUGAGGCUCGAGAGCGUGGGGAGCAAACAGGAUUAGAUACCCUUGUAU